rnacentral:snRNA from 1 species
GUACCUACUGUGGCUUUGAGGUUGGUUUUCUCAGGAUGAAGCCUUAUCCAUUACACUUCGGAUAUGCUGACCCCUGUGGUUUCCCCAAAGGUAGAAAACUCAACUGCAGAAUCUGUGGUAGCAGGUGACUGUGUCCAGGUUUCCACUUG